rnacentral:rRNA from 1 species
AUUGAACGCUGGCGGCAUGCCUUACACAUGCAAGUCUAACGGCAGCACGGGUGCUUGCACCUGGUGGCGAGUGGCGAACGGGUGAGUAAUACAUCGGAACGUACCUUAUCGUGGGGGAUAACGCAGCGAAAGCUGUGCUAAUACCGCAUACGCACUGAGGGGGAAAGCGGGGGAUCGCAAGACGUCGCGUGACUAGAGCGGCCGAUGUCUGAUUAGCUUGUUGGUGGGGUAAAAGACCCGCAAGGCGACGAUCAGGAGCUGGUCGGAGCGGACCAUCAGCCAGACUGGACCUUGGAAAGAGCCCAGACUCCUACGGGAGGCAGCAGUGGGUAAUGUUGGACAAUGGGGGCAACCCUGAUCCAGCAAUACCGCGUGAGUGAAGAAGCCCUUCGGGUUGGAAAGAUCUUUUGUCAGGGAAGAAACACCGGCUCUAACACAGUCCGGGAAUGACGGUACCUGAAGAAUAAGCACCGGAUAACUACGUGCCAGCCGCCGCCGUAA